rnacentral:misc_RNA from 1 species
GGAAGUAAAAGUCGUAACAGGGUUUCCGUAGGUGAACCUGCGGAAGGAUCAUUAUUGGAUUUUGAAACUUCAGGCUGCUGCUGGCUCUCCUCGGAGGGCAUGUGCUCGCUUGUUGUCCAUUACUUCUCCCACUGUGCACAAAUUGUAGACCUUUCAGUAGGCCUAUGUUGUUUUUCACAAUCUCUGAAUGUAAUAGAAUGGUUUUGAAUCUUGGGAAAUACAAUACAACUUUCAGCAACGGAUCUCUUGGCUCUC